rnacentral:rRNA from 1 species
UACAGAGGGUGCGAGCGUUAAUCGGAAUUACUGGGCGUAAAGCGCGCGUAGGCGGCUUUGCAAGUCGGGUGUGAAAUCCCCAGGCUUAACCUGGGAACUGCAUUCGAGACUGCAUUGCUAGAGUAUGGGAGAGGGAAGUGGAAUUUCCGGUGUAGCGGUGAAGUGCGUAGAUAUCGGAAGGAACAUCAGUGGCGAAAGCGACUUCCUGGACCAAUACUGACGCUCAUGUGCGAAAGCGUGGGGAGCAAACAGG